GACGAACGCUGGCGGCGUGCUUAACACAUGCAAGUCGAACGGAAAGGCCCUGCUUUUGUGGGGUGCUCGAGUGGCGAACGGGUGAGUAACACGUGAGUAACCUGCCCUUGACUUUGGGAUAACUUCAGGAAACUGGGGCUAAUACCGGAUAGGAGCUCCUGCUGCAUGGUGUGGGUUGGAAAGUUUCGGCGGUUGGGGAUGGACUCGCGGCUUAUCAGCUUGUUGGUGGGGUAGUGGCUUACCAAGGCUUUGACGGGUAGCCGGCCUGAGAGGGUGACCGGCCACAUUGGGACUGAGAGACGGCCCAGACUCCUACGGGAGGCAGCAGUGGGGAAUAUUGCAGAAUGGGCGGAAGCCUGAUGCAGCAACGCCGCGUGCGGGAUGACGGCCUUCGGGUUGUAAACCGCUUUCGCCUGUGACGAAGCGUGAGUGACGGUAAUGGGUAAAGAAGCACCGGCUAACUACGUG
rnacentral:rRNA from 1 species